UUUUGCUAUUUUUAAAGCAGAAAAAUUACAUAUUGUGGCUUUAAAUAUAUUUUUAAUGUUCAAUGGUUGAAAGGUGAGUUGAAUAAUGACAUCUCAUUGUGACACUUUUUUUACAGACGUAUUAUUGCUUUCAUAGAGCGAGCCUUCCAGCUUAACUGAAGUUACACUCAUAAUUCACACAAAGCAUCAUAGGGUGUAGGUCACAACUGCUACUAACCCUGAACCAUAAAGGAUUUAAUUUCUUUUCAACAUCUCAAAACAGCAAGGGCAAUCAAUGAUUGUCAUCAAUUGUAAUUCACGGAUAUGCAAACAAAAGUUAGUAUAAAUUGCUGUAAGAUAAACAGUGUUGCAUUGAGCUAUAUUAACUUUUUAAACUAUGUCCGGAGGCAUCAGGAAACAGAAAGUAAGCCUGUGUUUUUAAGCAUGCAGUUGUCAUUAUAGGACUCCUCCCCUUCACAGAGAACUGAUAUAAGAGUGAUGAAACUAAAACUAAACAAAGCUGAAGAGAUCUCUUCUGAUCAACGCAUCUGCACUUAAAGCUAAAAUGAAACUGAUUGGAUCCAGAAUCUGGUUUCUGUCUUUCUGCAAUGCGGUUGCAGUCGGUUCACAGGGUGUCAGAUUUCUAUAGAGAUUUCCAGGCAAAAACACGGCUAAAACACACCCAAUCUGGCAACACCAGCCACCAGUGUUGCACCACCGCAUGUGUCAACUAAACUGAAAGCAGCAUGUUGUCGACAUCGAGGAAGCGUUGCAUGAUCAUUUAAACAAGUUGUAUGACAAGUUGAUUAACCGGAUGGACCAUCUCGGUUAUGUAACCCUCGUUCCCUGAAGGAGAAGGAGGCACCCGUUUCAGUGGAUCUGGAGACGUUACACUUCCAGAGGGAGAUAACAAAGCCCAGUCAUCGUCUCCAGAGAGGGACCAGCGCGCUCAAUGGUGUGAUGGAGGAGUGAGGAGCCCAUACGCUUGCUUCAACCAGCUGGUAACACCGAAGUUCCCGCUCUUGCUGCGCCACUCCCCUCCACAGAGCGGAUACGUGCACUUUUUCCCUCCAGUCGAGUUCCCCGAUUGACGAACCCUCUGCGAGUUCCUCCGCACCCUUUCGGCAGUCUGACGUAUGCUUGUGUAACUUGUGCUAGGCUGGGUCCAUAUGAUCCCUGCGGCGAUCCCAUAUGUGUAUUCUUCCACGACCAGCUCCCUGCGGUGAGCCCGUGUCUUCCCUUGGCCUCCCUCUUUGGGUGAAGCCACCCCAGUGACAUUCCAUAUGUUGCACUGCCCACUUCCAGUCCAUAAGUAUUGUACACACGUUACCUCCCUUCGGGCAAGAUGUGGUUCUGCAGCGCCCCUUUCUUCCACCCCAGCAAUUGGGGGUCUGAGAGUCUUGCGUAGGGCGCUGGAUGUGGCAGCAACCGAUAGCGUUUUCAAUGGGAUCCCCUAACG